rnacentral:rRNA from 1 species
GCGUUAAUCGGAAUUACUGGGCGUAAAGCGGGCGCAGACGGUUACUUAAGCAGGAUGUGAAAUCCCCGGGCUCAACCUGGGAACUGCGUUCUGAACUCGGUGACUAGAGUGUGUCAGGGGGAGGUAGAAUUCCACGUGUAGCAGUGAAAUGCGUAGAGAUGUGGAGGAAUACCGAUGGCGAAGGCAGCCUCCUGGGAUAACACUGACGUUCAUGCCCGAAAGCGUGGGUAGCAAACAGG